rnacentral:rRNA from 1 species
UACGUAGGCAGCAAGCGUUGUUCGGAGUUACUGGGCGUAAAGGGUGUGUAGGCGGUUCUUUAAGUUUGGUGUGAAAUCUCCCGGCUCAACCGGGAGGGUGCGCCGAAUACUGAGGGACUCGAGUGCGGGAGAGGAAAGUGGAAUUCCUGGUGUAGCGGUGAAAUGCGUAGAUAUCAGGAGGAACACCGGUGGUGUAGAUGGCUUUCUGGACCGUAACUGACGCUGAGACACGAAAGCGUGGGUAGCAAACAGG